AUGCGAUGAGUCGAUUGUGGUCUAAGACCACUUUUGCGCGGGGAGGUCAUUAAGGCAGGAGCCGACUUUGAUAAAUUGUGUGAACCCUUUUAUCACAUUCUUUGAAUGCCCCAAACCUUUGUCUUUUGACAAAGGUUUUUU
rnacentral:sRNA from 1 species